rnacentral:lncRNA from 1 species
UUCAGUUUUAUCUCGUUUCAGUUUUAUCUCGUUUUCAGUUUUCUUCUUUUGCAGUUUAUUUUUAUUUCAGUUUAUUUUAUUGGUCUUGAUAAGGAAAAUAGGUAAGUCUUCAAUUCCAUGUGGAUUCGAUCCUUUCACCACUAUUUGCAGUUGUAAAUUGUUGAUAACCAGAAAGGUUAUUUUUGACCGGCUUCGACAACCGC